GAUGAACGCUGGCGGCGUGCCUAAUACAUGCAAGUCGAGCGAACAGACGAGGAGCUUGCUUCUUUGACGUUAGCGGCGGACGGGUGAGUAACACGUGGAUAACCUACCUAUAAGACUGGGAUAACUUCGGGAAACCGGAGCUAAUACCGGAUAACAUGUUGAACCGCAUGGUUCAACAGUGAAAGACGGUCUUGCUGUCACUUAUAGAUGGAUCCGCGCCGCAUUAGCUAGUUGGUAAGGUAACGGCUUACCAAGGCAACGAUGCGUAGCCGACCUGAGAGGGUGAUCGGCCACACUGGAACUGAGACACGGUCCAGACUCCUACGGGAGGCAGCAGUAGGGAAUCUUCCGCAAUGGGCGAAAGCCUGACGGAGCAACGCCGCGUGAGUGAAGAAGGUCUUCGGAUCGUAAAACUCUGUUAUUAGGGAAGAACAAAUGUGUAAGUAACUAUGCACGUCUUGACGGUACCUAAUCAGAAAGCCACGGCUAACUACGUG
rnacentral:rRNA from 1 species